CUACGGGUGGCAGCAGUGAGGAAUAUUGCACAAUGGGGGGAACCCUGAUGCAGCAACGCCGCGUGGAGGAUGACGCAUUUCGGUGUGUAAACUCCUUUUAUAUGUCAAGAAAAUGACGGUAGCAUAUGAAUAAGCACCGGCUAACUCCGUGCCAGCAGCCGCGGUAAUACGGAGGGUGCAAGCGUUACUCGGAAUCACUGGGCGUAAAGGACGCGUAGGCGGGCUUGUAAGUCAGGUGUGAAAUCCUACAGCUUAACUGUAGAACUGCACUUGAAACUACGAGCCUAGAGUAUGGGAGGGGCAGACGGAAUUAGUGGUGUAGGGGUAAAAUCCGUAGAUAUCACUAGGAAUACCUAAAGCGAGGGCGAUCUCCUGGAACAUUACUGACGCUAAGGCGUGAAAGCGUGGGGAGCAAACAGGAUUAGAUACCCUUGUAGUC
rnacentral:rRNA from 1 species